CUGUUGGGUAGGGGAGCGUUGUGUAAGCGGAAGAAGGUUCAUCGAGAGGUGGGCUGGACGUAUCACAAGUGCGAAUGCUGACAUAAGUAACGAUAAAACGGGUGAAAAACCCGUUCGCCGGAAGACCAAGGGUUCCUGUCCAACGUUAAUCGGGGCAGGGUGAGUCGGCUCCUAAGGCGAGGCUGAAAAGCGUAGUCGAUGGGAAACAGGUUAAU
rnacentral:rRNA from 1 species